CAGUCGCCGCGGUAAUACGUAGGUGGCAAGCGUUGUUCGGAAUUAUUGGGCGUAAAGGGCUCGCAGGCGGUUUCUUAAGUCUGAUGUGGAAGCCCCCGGCUCAACCGGGGAGGGUCAUUGGAAACUGGGUAACUUGAGUGCAGAAGAGGAGAGUGGAAUUCCACGUGUAGCGGUGAAAUGCGUAGAGAUGUGGAGGAACACCAGUGGCGAAGGCGACUCUCUGGUCUGUAACUGACGCUGAGGAGCGAAAGCGUGGGGAGCGAACAGGAUUAGAUACCCCGGUAGUCCCUGUCUCUUAUAC
rnacentral:rRNA from 1 species